CACCGAUCAGAUUGUUCAAUUGUGUGUAGACAUAUAGACAUACAUAUGAGGUGCAGAGUGUUGGUGAAAUAUGAACAUGAGCAUAGUGUGCGUAUCUGCUUAUACAUUAAGCCGAUGUCGUUGAGCGACAUGACGUCUGCGUGCAUAAGGCGGCCGGCCGGCCCAUAGACAAGCAAGUUCUUAGAUGAACUUUAUUUUUUUGAUGGAAG